CGUCCCCUAGGGGAUUCGAACCCCUGUUACCGCCGUGAAAGGGCGGUGUCCUAGGCCUCUAGACGAAGGGGAC
rnacentral:tRNA from 1 species